AUGGCAUUAUAAAAAAUGAAAACAUGUCGAAAAAGGGACGAACACGCUUCCCAAACGGCAGCGGCUCGUCCCCCAAGGGGUGGCACGCAUUGGCCAAGGGCCUGCCCCCGCAAGCAUGCACACAAGGCCCGCGGAGCCUCGUACCUUUCUGCGCAUGAUGCGAUGCACGUAGACUGCGUGCCUUACAAGCAUAGGGCGUCGGCCAACAAAUAUCCUACAAAGUUUACACAUAAGUGGUUAUCAAAAGGAGUCGUUAAUCCCUGGGAUUCUCGCAUUUUCCUAUUUCUUUUUGUUAUAAUAUUAUAGAAUAUAUGACAAAAUAUUCUCAUGUACUCAUUAGCAGAUUUCCUAUAUAUAUA
rnacentral:lncRNA from 1 species